AAGGGCGCAAGGCGGAUGCCUUGGCACCAGGAGGCGACGAAGGACGUGACAAGCAACGAAAACCUCGAGUAGGAGCAAAUAUCCAGUGACUCGGGGGAAUCCGAAUGGGGAAACCUACUAGACACACUCUAGUAUCC
rnacentral:sRNA from 1 species